rnacentral:rRNA from 1 species
UACGCCUACGGGGCGCAGCAGUGAGGAAUAUUGGUCAAUGGCCGAGAGGCUGAACCAGCCAAGUCGCGUGAGGGAAGACGGCCCUACGGGUUGUAAACCUCUUUUGUCGGGGAGCAAAGAGAGUCACGUGUGACUCAUUGAGAGUACCCGAAGAAAAAGCAUCGGCUGACUCCGUGCCAGCAGCCGCGGUAAUACGGAGGAUGCGAGCGUUAUCCGGAUUUAUUGGGUCUAAAGGGUGCGUAGGCGGGCUUUUAAGUCAGCGGUAAAAAUUCGGGGCUCAACCCCGUCCGGCCGUUGAAACUGGG